GAAAAUGGUCUUAUACAGAAGCAGCGAACACCUCGCCGAAGAUGUCAGCAGCCCAAAAUGUUGAGUAGCCCUGAGGACACCAUGUACUAUAACCAGUUAAAUGGAACUCUAGAAUAUCAAGGGAGCAAGAGGAAGCCAAGAAAACUUGGCCAAAUCAAAGUGCUUGAUGGGGAAGAUGAAUAUUACAAAUCCUUGUCACCUGUGGACUCUAUUCCCGAGGAAGACAACCCAUCCUGCCCUUUCUUUUCUUCCUCAUCCUCAAAAGGAACAUCUUUUGCUCAGUACUGAAGUGUACUUCCUGCCCCCCAAGUCUGUUGAGGAUACUAUCUCUGCGAGAAUACCUGACAUGAAGAAAACCAACAAGCUGAAAAAUACUGUCAAGACAAAAUAACUGACCUUGGACAAAAUAGAAGUCAUUCCGGGAAUAGAACAGUUUUUAAAAGCUUCACUGGAAACCAUUGGUGUUCAUGUUGUGAGCUGCUGGCUUUUCUUCCAUUUUGGUUCAUCUGCAGACAUGCCUCCAUCCACUUUAACUUUCUUUAUUUUUAAAUGUCAUGCAAAUACAGAAAAGGGCACAAAUCAGAGGACUCAACUCAUUAAGUUAUCAGAAAGUGAAUGUCUAUAUAACUGCCCCUACAGUCAAGUUAUCUAUGUAACCACUCCUACAGUCUGAUAUGUUAUUAGAAAGUGAGUAUAUAUAAACCUUCUGUGGGUCAAGUGGAACGUUGUCAGCACACUAGAAGUCCCCCUCUUGUCCAUUCCCAAUCACCCACCUCUCCAAAGACAAGCACUCUCAUGACUCUUGUGGUAAAUACUUCCUUGGUUUUCUUUAUAAUUUUACCACUUACAAACAUCCCUAAACACUAUAGUUAAAUUUUGCCUCUUAUAGUUAGGUUCUGGGAACUUUAUAUAAAUGGAAUCAUGUAGCAUGUAAUCUUUUGGGUUUUGUUUCUUUUAUUUGGUGUUAUAUUUGUGAGAUUAAUCUAUGUUGUAGAAUGUAAACAUAGCUCAUUCAUUUUCAAAACUAUGUAACAUUCCAGUAUAUGAAUAUGGCGUAAUUGACGUAGCCAUUCUGCUUUUGAUAGACAAAUAUGAAUUAUUUCCAGUUUGGGGCUAUUCUGGACAUUGCUACUGUGAACAUUGUUGUGUGUCUCUUGGUGUCUAUUUGCAUGCAUUUCUGUUGGCUAUAUACGUAGGAUUAGGAUGGCAGAGUUCUAAGGUACCCAUAUCUGCACUUCAGUAGGUAAUACCAAACUGUUUUCCUAAGUGAUUUUACCAAUUUACAGUCACACCUGUGACAUAAAAGAGCUUCCAUUGUUCUGUAUUCUCUCCAAUUCUUGUUAUUAUCGGUCUCCUUCAUGUGGGCACUCUGAUGGGUAUAUAUUAGAAUCUCACUGUUGAUUGAUAGCUUACAUAUCUCUGAUUAAUAAUGAUAUUGAGCACAUUUUCAUACUUUAGUGGCCUAAAAUUUUAGAUACCUUCUUUUGUGAUAUGCCCAUUUUUAUUUGGGUUAACUACAUAUUU